UUCAGAGGCAGUCAGCCUCUGAAUCGCAGUGCCAGGAGGCAACAUUAGGGGAAGGCUUCAGCCUCCAUGCCCUGUCGUUGGACCUCCAGAGUAACUGGCUGGCCACUGUAUGAGACAGAUUGCUGGACUAGAUGGAACACUAGUUUGCUCUGUCAGGGCUCUUCUCAUGUUCUUACGAAGUACUUUGCACAAUUUAUGCUUAAAUUGUUUUUG